AACACUGCCUUACCUAGCUCUCUUGUGUGCCUUGGUAAUGAAGUGAUACUUCCAUUGCAUAUUUGCACUCUGGAAUUGUUUUUAUUUUACUAUUUAUUUUGCCAUUCCCUUGUUUGAAAACUGUGUAGCAAAUGCUCAAAUUCUACAGUCCUGGGCACCUUGGAAAAUAUCAUUAAAUGAGUCAAACUGGGAAAAUCUAAUGAUGACUCAUUUUCUUUAGCAGAGACUCAGAUAUUUAUAUUUAGAAAGUAUUUGUAACAGCAUUACUCUCUAUUGCGUGUUUAUGUAGAGCAGCAUCCCAACCAGGAGUGAUUUUGCCCCCCCUCCUGGGGACAUUGACAAUGCCUGGGGACAUUUUUGAUUGUCACAACUUGGAAAGGAAGAAGUGGUGCUAUUUGAGGUACCAGUGGAUGCUGCCCCCACAACAAAGCAUUAUCUGGAACAAAAUGUCAAUAGUGCUGAGGUCGAGGCACCCUGAUAUUUUUCAAGAACCAUCUGAAAACCUAAAAUGGGACCAAGUGAACACUAGGGGUCAGGAAGAAGACAUGAACUGUUACUUUCUAAAUAAUUUUCAAACUGUUAAAGAGUUCCACAUUGAUGCCGAAACUUUUUGUGUGUGCAUUGGAGGAAGCAAGUAAAUAUAUUGAUGUUAUAGGGAAUCAAGGCUUUUCAUUGUGGGAAAAGGGAGAUAUAAAUAUGAAAUGGAACAAGGAGUCCCUGGGUGGUGCAAACAGUUAAUGCACUCGGCUGCUAACCAAAAGUUUGGAGGUUCAAGUCCACCCAGAGGUGUCUCAGAAGAAAGGCCUAGUGAUCGACUUCUGAGACAUUAGUUGUUGAAAACCCUGUGGAGCACAGGUCUACUCUGACACAUGUGGGAUCAUGGAUAAAGAAGAGGAAAGGACGAUCCACCUGGAAGAUUUCAGGAUUUUCCACUUGGCCUGUUGGGUCAAUAAGUGCUAACAUGGAAUCAUCUUCAGUAACCUCUAGAAUGGCCUUAUGGAUUAUCUUGGAGACCACGAGGCCUCCUCCUGCCGCUAUGCCAGACAAGUUAGCCACCGAGGGGUCCAAGAUAUCAGUCAUUCCCAAUGCCGCCAAUAUGGGAGUGAGGUCUUCCUGGCACCCUUCCAGCCUGAGCCGGGGCAGGUGCAGAUCCACAGCCGUGUCUUCCAUGUUGGCUGAGCUGAUCCAGGUUUUUAGUUUCUCAUAAGUGAUUUCUCUGGUGACCUAUGAAAAGAAAGCAGGAAGGAAAAUGCAAGCGAAUUUUAUUUAGAAAAUAAAGUAUACUAAAAUGGAAGAUAAACUAAGGGCUGGAGGUGAGGCUAUGAAUAGGUAAAGCAACUUCUCACUGCCAUUUGGAAAGCAGAUUCUAAGCAUUGUGUCUGAUACAUCAGAGCAAGUGGGGAAAAUGCAGUGUGUGCAAGAAUCGAAGCCCAGAGCAUAGAGCCUUGGAGUCCAAAAGUCAUUUGUAAAAAAACAAAAAUAAUUACCAUGGGGAAUUUCUAUUUUUCUUCCUCUAUGAAAAAAAAAAAAAAUGCCUCUAUAAAUUGUACAACUUAUAUAUUAUAAUUGUAUACUUUAUAUAAAUGCCUCCCUUUUCCAUUGGUCACAGUAAAAGAUGCCUUUGGAACCUGAGAUCCUCCAACUCUGACAACAUGAAUUAAAUUUUAGACAGACCAAAAUAAUUUCCUACUGCAACUCAACCCAAAAUUCUCAUUAGUCAGAUAUUCAUAGAGAUGGAAUUUAUAUGAAAGUAACAUUUAUAGAUCAUUGUUGUGGUUGUUAGUUGCUCUUGAGUUUGCUCCAAUUCAUGGUGACCCCAUAUACAAAAGAACAAAACAUUGCUCAGUUCUGUGCCGUCUUCAUGAUCAUUAGCAUGUUUGAGUCCAUUGUUGCAGCGAUUGUACACUGCCUUCCAGCCCAGAGGGCCCAUCUUCUAGCGCUAUAUCAGACAACAUUUGUUGUGAUCCAUAAGACUAAUUUUUGAAACUAGAUCACUAGACCUUUCUUCCUAGUCUGUCUUAGUUUGGAGGCUCAGCUGAAACCUGUCCACCAUGGUUGAUCCUGCUGGUACUUGAAAUACAGGUGGCAUAGCUCCCAGCAUCAUAGCAACAUGUAAACCAGCACGCCACAGUACCACAAACUGAUAGACAGGUGGUGAUUUCUAGAUCAUUAGAACCAAAUGAUCUUCAAUUUGAUAGAAACCUUGGAGGAUUCUUUUCUGCAGUAUUUGUAACACCCAUGAAGCAUCUUCCCGAGAUGUUCUCAGGCUGGUGACCACUUCAAAAUGAAACAACCUGGAUCCCUGGUUGCACAGCUCAGCUUGCAAGAAAGGCCUGCCCCAUACUGAGCAGAAAUCUGCUUCCCUGUAAUUUCUACCUGUUAGUUUUAGUUUUUGGAGCCCUGGUAGUGCAAUGGUUAAGCACUUGGCUGCAAACUGAAAAGUCAGCUGUUCAAACCCACCCAGCAACUCUGUGGGAGAAAAGACCUGGUGCUCCGUUCCCAUAAAUAUUACAGCCUAGGAAAGCCUAGUUCUAGUCUGUCACAUAGGGUCGCUAUGAGUCAGAAUCGACUGAACUGCACACAACAACAACAGUUUUAAUUCUCAGUCUGGGAGCCAUACAAAAUCAGUCCAUUCCUUUUUCCAUAUGACAAACAAAUAUUUUAAUAAAAUCAGCAUAUUCUCAAAGUCACUUCUUUUUUCAUCAACCAUUUUCCACACCACAUCUUUUCUGGCUUCUCCUCAUUCCAGUUGUCUCUGGUUGCAGGGACUUAUGUAGAUUAUUUUGGGGACAGAAUCUAUUGGGAGGCAGGCAUCCCAGAUACCAACCAAUGUAAACCUCAAGGAAAAAAAUCAUUUUGUGUGGGGUUGACAUUCACCAUAUUCCAAUGAGUAACCAUCUUCAACUCUUCAUCAUUGAAGAAACCGGGGAUGACUGUCCCCCAUCCACAGUGGUGAAGAAAUGUUAAGCAUUCUAACAUGAGAAAAUUAGGUGGCUAUGAAGAUCUAGACUACUUUCCCCAACUCCUUCCUCAUUAAGGUCAUUACAGCAAGCUGUAAAUGCACUUCAGAGACAUUUUUCAGAGCUCUUAAUAUUUUUUUUUAGUGUCACAUUUUUAUGACCCAGGUCAAGCCUAUUAAAUUUCAGCCACAAAGUAUUGAUACGGUAACUAUGUACAUGGUCUUAGAUGGAUUCCAGUUCAUUGACUUUUCAUAAGAUCAUAAAAUUUAAGAGCUAGAAAGAAUCCUAGAAAUCAUUUACUUUGCCCCUCAUUAAAGCCCUUCAUUGCAUGGAUAAAAUAACUGAGGUCUGGAGAGGUUGAAUGGCUACCUGUUGUCCUGUAGUGAGUUUGUAGCAAAAUUAUGGUUAAAUUGCAACUGCUACAAAUUAUGGUUUAGUUCUAAUUCUGUUACCCACCCAUUCAGUGUUUUUCACACUGUCUAGCCAUGGAAAGGGGCCCUAGUGGCAUGAUGGUUAAGCACUCAGGCGCCAACCGAAAGGUUGGGUGUUCGAAUCCACCAGCUAUUCCAUGGGAGAAAGACCUGGCGAUCUGCUUCCACAAAGAUUAAAGCCUAGGCAACCCUAUGCAGGAGUUUCUACUCUGUCACAUAAGGUUGCUAUGAGUCAGAAUUGACUCAAUGGCACACAACAACAGUCAUGGAAAAGGAAGAUAAUAAUAAUUAAUAUUAAUUAGCAAUAAUAACUCAAAUCUCACUUUGUUAGAGAGGUUUUCCAUGAUCAUCCUUAUAAAAUAGAUGUGCCCCAAGCCUAUCACUCUCUACCUCAUUUACAUAUUUUAUUUUUCUUCAUAAAAAUAUAA